rnacentral:ncRNA from 2 species
GGUCAUGAGCGCCAGCGUCAAACCCCGGUUUGCUGGCCGGCAACCCUCCCGCUGCGGUGGGGUGCCCCGGGUGAGGACCUGGUCCGGCGAGAGCCGCCGGUCAAAGCAGCGC